rnacentral:rRNA from 1 species
CCUACGGGGGGCAGCAGUGGGGAAUAUUGCGCAAUGGGCGAAAGCCUGACGCAGCGACGCCGCGUGAGGGAUGAAGGUCUUCGGAUCGUAAACCUCUGUCAGCAGGGAAGAAAGGUCACUGUGCUAAUCAGCAGUGAAUUGACGGUACCUGCAAAGGAAGCACCGUCUAAAUCCGUGCGAGCAGCCGCGGUAAUACGGAGGGUGCGUGCGUUAAUCGGAAUUACUGGGCGUAAAGGGAUCGUAGGUGGUAUGUCAAGUCAAGGGUGAAAUCCCCGCGCUCAACGUGGGAACUGCCUGUGAAACUGGCAUACUUGAGUGUGUGGGAGGAUAGUGGAAUUCCAGGUGUAGGAGUGAAAUGCGUAGAUAUCACGAGGAAC